CCUACGGGGGGCAGCAGUGAGGAAUAUUGGUCAAUGGUCGGGAGACUGAACCAGCCAAGCCGCGUGAGGGAUGAAGGUACAGCGUAUCGUAAACCUCUUUUGUCAGGGAACAAAGGCGGGGACGUGUCCCCGGAUGAGUGUACCUGAAGAAAAAGCAUCGGCUAACUCCGUGCCGGCGGCCGCGUUAAUAGGGAGGAGGCGAGGGUUAUCCGGAUUUAUUGGGUUAAAAGGGUGCGCAGUCGGUCUUUUAUGUCUGCGUUCAAAGCCCGGGGCCCAACCCCGGGCCGCCGUUGAAACUGGCAGUCUCGAGUGGGAGAGAAGUAGGCGGAAUGCGCGGUGUAGCGGUGAAAUGCAUAGAUAUCGCGCAGAACUCCGAUUGCGAAGGCAGCAUGCCGGCUCCACACUGACGCUGAGGCACGAAAGCGUGGGUAUCGAACAGGAUUAGAUACCCCGGUAGUC
rnacentral:rRNA from 1 species